AUGCUGCUGCUGGCAGCACUCAUGGCCACAGCUUCUUGGUCUUCUGGAUACGCACAAGAAAUUCCUGUGCAGACCCCUAUAUCCAUUACCAAGUUCCAAAAGAGUGCACGGAUGACCUGUGAAAUUGAAGGAUUAGGGGCAAAUUUUGGUGGUACCAUCAUACACUGGUAUCAACAGAAGGAGGGUAAAGCUCCAGAGAGGGUCCUGUUCUUUUCAGAAGGGAAAACUUCAGUUGAGAGUGGCUUUCAAGAAAACAGGUACAUAGUUGAAAAAGUUGCUGCCCGGAAUCGGUGUGUUCUUACAAUAAAAGAUGUAAUUCCAGAUGACGCUGCUACUUACUACUGCGCCUACUGGGACCCUCACUGCAAAGAAGAUAAACUGGGGUUUUGGGGAAGGAAGGAGAUUGCUGAAACUUAG